AGGCUUUGAAUAGUCCUAUAGGAGACUUCACAGAUAGAGAUUCCAGUGCUACUUAGGAACCCUGCUAGCACUACCCUUAGGUUGGUACCUGGAUAUUUCAUGAGCCUACACUUUCUGACAAAAGUUCCUCAAAUUCUCAUGAUUCCCAGCUCACGAUCUGGAGAUCUCAAUACAAAGCAGCAGGGAGGAGAGCUGUGUCGAGUAAGAGAUGAGAAGAUGACUGUAGUAGCACCUGUAUCCCAUCAAAUGAAGAGCAAAUGUGGUUGACCGUAGAAACUUCAUGAGGGAACAGAGAGGAAAAGCUUGAGGACAUCUUUCUCCUGGUAUUUUGCCUCAGUUUCCAGUGGAAACACAGAUUUUGUGUGUUAGAAAAAGCAUAUGUUCAGUACAACUUAGCAGCUGUAGUAAAACAUUUCUUCCACUGAACAUCCCAUUUAUUUAGAGCCCAGGCCUUUUGAUUUCCUUUUCCUGGAAAAGACAUAGCCUUUUUCUCCAGUCAAAGAGACUAAAACCUUUGAUAUUGAUAUGAUAUCUAUGAAUGUCCUUCUCUUUUUUUUGUUAGUACUAUUUCUUCCUUUCUGAGAUAAAGGGACUGUUAAAUACCAUAAUGAAGAUUCUCCAGAUUCUUUCUUUCAUUGGUUGUGGGUGUUUUUUUCUAAUACUUCAUACUACUCUUUUUGUUGUUGUUGUUAACAAUCAGGCUGACCAUCUAUAAUUUGUUCUUUUUACCAUUUCUAUAAAUUAUCUGGAUGCAGGACUUGAAGUCUAUCAAGUAAGUUUGCAGAUGUUAAGUUAGGAGGAGCUCCCUGAAGGGUGGCAAGUUCUUGCAGAGAGUUCUUGACUGACUAGAGCAAUCAGCAAUCAAAUUAAGUGUAUUAAGAGCAAGUGCUGGAUUCUGCACUUGGGACAGGGCGACUUUGGAUAUGUGUACUGACUGGGGCACGAGAGUCUGGAGAGCAGCCCCAAAGAAAGGGAUCUAGGGGUUCUGGUUGAUGGCAAAUUGAAUAUGAGUAAGCAGUGUGCCAAAGCAGAUUUGGUGAAAGUUCUGGAGGAUAGGACAUGCCAUGAGUGGCUGAGGCCACUUGGUUUGUUCAGCCUAAAGAAGAGGAGACUGGGGGGAAUUUCAACACUUGAGAGAAUGAGGAUGGCUGCUAGAACUGAGAACAUGCAUAGGACUGUAAAAAGUUUCUUGGACAUGUUUCCAACAUCUGUUCUGCCUUUGAAACUGCAUGGUAUGUUUUGAGCAGCGUGUUGAGAUGUCUGGGAGCUUUGACAUUUCAAGGACAUUAGAAACUGUUUAGAAACCAUCCUUAAUAGCAAAUAACUAAACAGAAACUUGAUUCAUUUUAUUCAGCUCCGUGCAAUGAGGAAGUGGGCAAGCAAAAUAAUAACAUUUCAUAGGACUAAAGCAGAAGUCCCAGGGCCCAGAAACUCUACUACAGUGUGGCACGUGGCAGUGUAAGGUCCUUUUACACUGCAGUCUCUGUUGUCCUGUACCUUGGAAUUCUUCAGGCAAUGAGGGUGUAUAGUGUUACUCUACUUUAGUCAUGGUUUUGCUCUGAAGCAAUCAUUUUAUUUUCCUGAUUUGUCUGCAAAGAAGAGAAGGGCAAAAAUGUCAAUACUGCUUUGUUUCAGAACUGCUCUCUUGCUUGUCCUUUGUACUCCCUGCUCUCUGUUGGUUUGUGUUUUUUGUUUUUGGUUUUUUGGUUUUUUGGUUUUUGUUUUUCCCCUCAACAUCUCAUCUGACUGCUUAUUCCCUGAAGCGAAAAUGCAAACCAGGCCCUUGUUCACCUUCCAACCUUCUUGGCAUUUCUCUCUUUUUCUACAAAUCCAUACCAGCAUUAAGUGUUCUAUCUUAAUAUUCCUUUGUGUCUACCUCAAUGCUGCUCAACCUCUUACUGUUGAAUUGCGCAAAUGGCUGUUUUACCUUUACCUUCUUUCCUCUGUUUCUAUUUCUCAAGAACUCGCUGUUCUCUUUUCCUUUCCUACUCACUAUUGUAGUUAUUUUUUUCCAAUUGGUCAUUAUUUGCCAGUAUCAACAAAUUUGUCACAAAGCACCACCUGCUUUCUUCUCUGUGCCCUUUAUAAAACCUAUACAAACCACAGAGAACUGAGUCAGAAAUUCCUGAAAACCUCACAAACCAUUAAGUAGGAAGGUUUAAACAGGCAAUAAUAGCUGGAGAUUUAAAAUAUUCAUUGACUUAUUCAUUAUGAGGAUGGAGUCAUGAGGGCUCUAAGUGGCAAAAGCCAAACAGUAGAGGGUAAAGAUGGAGAAUUAUUUAUCAGGCUAUGAGUGAGGUAAUGAAUAGCACAUUUGACUUUCUUUCUCUACCAGAAAUCAGAUACCAGCUCUAUAUAAGCUACCUAACAUCAGUCUGCACCAUGUUUAUUCCUGCUUCUAUGUUCUGCUCCUCACUUUGGUGGGCUACGCACAGUCGUAGCUGGAGCUAUAUGAGAAACGCUUUUUGCAGCUGAAAGCUGCUUUUGAGACUUCCUUAUGCAAAAACAUGUUGCUUAGGAUGGACCAGUGCAGGCAAAAUCCUACUAAACUCUAAUUCUUGAAGAAAGCACUGCUGGGAAGAAAGAAACUCAGACAAUCGCACAAUAUUUUCAUGUGGAAUUGAAAGGUCUGAUGAAGUCAGGAUGAAGACUGGUCCAAAGUUACUUGUAUCUA